AGACCUAAAGAAGCAACUUGAAAAGGGGAAAAAAAAAAAAAAAAGAGCUGGAAUUUGAAAAAGUUCCUGCCCAAAUAACAUAUUGCAUCUGUGACACUUUGUUCUGGUACUAAUUUCCUGACAGCACUCACCACAGACAGUUCCUGUUCCCUGGCAAUAACUAACAACGCUACCUGUGCCUUUGCAGAUGGUUUAGUGUGUAUAUAUCUUUUUGGAAGCACGCAAUUUGUUUUCUGCCUGGGAUGUAUUUGCCAGAAAUCUUCAACUGUCAAAACAGCCCCCUUCCUAGGUCAUGAUCUCACCGCAGUGUACCCGUUAGGCUUCUGUCCAGCCCAGAAAGACCAUGGUGACAUGCAUUGCUGAGCACUGGACUGUGUUCUCAUGAUGAAGCGCUAAGUUGAAGUUGGCUUGAGAGGAGAGGCAGUCAGCUUGGAAUAAGACCUGGGAAAGGAAGGGCAGGGAAGAAUGUCAGAGUGCCUGUGAAUAUUUUCACAAGGACUGGGGAGAACUUUUUCCCACGCCACUCUACAGUCAAACCCUCCAGAUGCCAACAGAUUACUGAUUAGGCUUUCCUGCCCUUGACUUGGGAUCAUCGUGUUGCAGAGCACUUGGGGACAGAGCAAAAGGCACCUCUCAUCAUGCUGUUAAUGAUGUUUUUCCACAAACUGAGAAAACACAUUCCCAAGAAAUGCCUUAAGACAUGCUGCCAGCCUGUGACCUUCUGCAAGGCGGUCUCAGGGCCAGCAGUGUAAAGGACGAGAUAGAUCUUCCUCCCACUGUCAUCACAAGCUGAGAGAAGAGAUGCUAACAGCCUCCUGUGUACUGCAGUGGAAGGCAGCUGGCACAGAAAGCGUGGAACCACAGGAAAAGGAAAUCCAUUCAUCACAAUUCUGGAAUGCUGGAAAACUCACUGAGGAACUACAAAGGGCAGAGGUGCUGACUUUAAGCGGAAUUGGCGGUUUGCAAUACCACUGCUCAGGACACUUAACACCAGAGGAAAGGUUUCACACACUUGUGUCCCACCGCAACCCAUGCAGACCUCGUGGCUGUGGCUGCUGAUGCAGGAUCCAGCAAAGGCAGAUUGCAGAGCUCUCACUCAUCUCUGCAUCAUCCGUGAAGACCUCCUCCAAGGGAAGCGCCAGCUUGCUGCCAUGAUGGUACAUACAUCACGAUGGCACAUACAUCACGGCGCGGUGGCAAAGCCGUCCGGCCUGGCUCCUGACGCAGAGCUGCACUCGGACCUUGCCCCAAGCAAAAGAUGCCACCUCUAAUAUAUGGAACUGUCACGAAUUUGUUUUUUGUCAUAAAUGAAGCAUGAGGCUGUGCUUUAAUUUUCCUCACUGCCCUCUGUCAGGUAAUAACCAUAAAUAUUGUCCUGAAUCAUUAAGUCACAAACUGAAAUGUGAUCCUGCCCAGUUCCCAAUCAGACAGCCAUCUGGAAGAUGAAAGAAGUCUAUUUUCAUUGCAGAAUGAUCCAGACUCUAAUUUGUAGUAACAGUCUUAACAGGCUGUUUCAGAGACAUUAACCAGAGACUGGUGGCAGUUACCCAAGGAGGGGGCACUGGAGGCGCUGCCUUCAGUGUGUGUCACGGGCAGAACACCCAUCACUGCUGUGGGCUCACAGAGUCUGCAUCUUUUAUUCGAACGCCAUGUUUCUAAACAGGCACAGGUUAUGGAUCCAGGGUGGCUGGAAAUAUACUGUGUCGUAAAAAAUGCCAACACGUUUGUGGGAGACAGAAAAUAGUACUUCCACAGAGCCAGCAGUGGUACCGCAGGUCGUAUAAAUGCCUCCUAUCUUAGGGUUAAUUUCAUGCUGAAAGUAAAUAUCUCUAUAUAAAAUAUAUUCAUACAUAUGUAUGUAGGUUGCUUCAAAAGUAAUGCCUCCUAUUUAUUUCCGUGGAAACUAAACAGAUACAAAGAGCACAAUAAUCCUAUUUGAUAGAACAAAUUCUCAGGUACAAAACACUAUUUUCAGUGUAGUCAUCGCCAUUAGCUAUGCAUUUUCACCAGCAAUGACUCAGAGCCUGCAUGCUGUACUCAUAAAAAUCUGCACCAGCGGAGGUGACCUGCUGCCACUGUCACCACUGCUGAAAUGCACCACCCACCACCUCAGCGUGCUCACACCCACUGUUUGGUCACCGUAAAUGUUCAGUAGGCAUCGAUGAAUGUCAAUAGGUGCAAUUUUUUCCUCAUGAAGGAAUUCAAUGACACACCUUUGCUUCAUAUGCACUUCCAUGUCAGACACCAUUCUGUCAGACUGCCUUUCUGCUGCUGUCUGUUGCACAGCAACAAAAAGUAACGGAAUACUGUCAGGAAGGUUCAGCCUCUACUGCCAUACCACCAACGUCUGCCUCUGAAGUUGUGGGCCAACAUAAUAAAACAGGAGGCAUUACUUUCA
ensembl:lncRNA